rnacentral:rRNA from 1 species
GUACUCCCAAUGAAUCCGGUUGAUCCUGCCGGACCCGACUGCUAUCGGAUAGAGAUUAAGCCAUGCUAGUUGAACAUUUCUUAACUAUGUGAGAAGUGUAGCGUACUGCUCAGUAACACGUGGUCAACCUGCCCUAGAGACGUGUAUAACCCCGGGAAACUGGGACUAAUACGCGAUAAGUCAUAUUUUCUGGAAUGGUUUAUGAUAUAAAGGAUUUUUCAAACAUGUUUGAUUUAUUGCUUUAGGAUGGGACUGCGGCCGAUCAGGUUGUUGGUGGGGUAAUGGCCCACCAAGCCUAUUACCGGUGCGGGCUUUGAGAGAAGGAGCCUGGAGAUGGACACUGAGAAAAGGGUCCAGGCCCUACGGGGCGCAGCAGGCGCGAAAACUUCGCAAUGUGCGAAAGCACGACGAGGUUA